rnacentral:lncRNA from 1 species
CCAAAAUCAUCAACAUGUGAUUUACCAGUGAAUCAGCCUGAAUUUGCUCCCUUCAAGAAGAAUGGUGCCUGUAUGUAAAAAUCACAAAGCAUGCACCGUUGGUGGCACUUGGUGGCUUAUUCAUUAUUCUGUUUGGUAGAUUGGAGAGGCAGAAGAAUAAAAAGAGUUAUUGUUCUCAUUUCCAUGUGAUUUGACUCAGGCAUGUUUAAAGAGUAGCUCUUGUACCAGGGAAAUGAAGAUUUGAUCCUGCACUGCUCUUAAGACACUCAGGAAUCUCUCCGUUACCUCAGAGAAUCUGGCCACAAACAGGACUCAGAGUGGAAAUUGCCCAACCUGUCUGCUAUCACUCUCUUGAAAGAGACAGAUCCGAUCAGCAUCUCUCAACUGUGACUCAUGAGGUAUUUUUGGCUAUGUCAAGAACAUUCUCAAACAAGGUUCCAGGAAGCUAAACCUUACAGAGAGAAACACAGGCUCUCUUGCCACCUGAUUCUCAUGUGGGUUUGGUCGAGGAAGGACCAAGAGGAACUUGGAAAUCAGAAGGAAAAAGAGAACAAAGAAUGCACACCUACCAAAGGGCUACUUUGCACUCAGCACUGAGUAAGUCACUUUCCAAUCAAUCAUCCCAAAAACCAUCUGAAAUAUUUGUGUUCUUACUUGAUCGAUGAGGAACUUUACCUUAUGCAGUGAAGAAUCUAAGAAGAGAGAGGUUCUACCUCAGAGAAGUGAGCCAGACCAUGUAGAUGGUGGGCUCUCAGGGCAGGUUGGCCAGGGGAUCCGUAAUGACCUCUCUGUUUAUAUCGCUACGCAGUAAAAAGAGAUGAAUCUAAAGGAAACACGUUGUACGUGUAGAUAGUAGAAUGGCUUCCCAAGAGGGACACUAAGUUACCUUUAUUGCUAUUACUGACCAGCAUUGUCAUUUUAUAAGUAGAUUUGUCUGAGCGCCUUAAUGGUAAUAUAGCUGGGCAAAGGGUUGAUUACUUAUAUUUCAUGAGAAUAGAUGAUUAAACAUUCUCAACCUAAAGAAAUGUUAUUAUCUUUAUUACAUUAAUAUUUUGUUAAAGAAAGAGGAUUACAGCAUUAUUUACAGUUACUGAUCUGUGGAUUAAUAGGAAACACUGCUCUUUAAAUAUAGUAAUAACAUGUUAGUUACCAAGAAAACUGAGGCCUGAGAGGUAGAGAAAUUCUGAUGAACAUAAACAAAUUGGGUAUAAGAAUGGAAAGCAAAUCAUUUUUACGGCAAAUGCAUCUGAGCAAACCUGGAAUAAUACUAUUUUCUAAUUGUCAAUAACUGUCACCCCUUGAUUACAGAUGUUUAUAAUACAUAAUAGAAAUAUAUACUAUAUAUUGCCCAUUAAAAUUGGCAAGCAAAAUAGAAGCUCCAGUAUUUCAGAAUUUCUUGAAAAGAAAAUUGGGGGAAGGGGAGAAUACACACACAUACACACACACACACAGACACACUCACAAAAUAAAACAUAUUAUGCCAAGCCCACACUGUAAUUUAUCAACUGGGAAGGAAAUUGGCAUGUCUUUUCCUGCUGAUUUAUUGGUUAAUUCCAACAAUUCAUUGUAGAAAAGGCCACCAAUGAAUUACAGUGUGGGAAAAAAAUUAAGCGGAGCAUUUAGAAAGGUGUUUCAGAAUACAGCCUUUAGAAACAACUUACAUAGCUAUUUUAUAGCCAGUCCCAAAGCAAUUGGUGCA